GAUGAACGCUGGCGGCGUGCCUAAUACAUGCAAGUCGAGCGAACAGACGAGGAGCUUGCUCCUCUGACGUUAGCGGCGGACGGGUGAGUAACACGUGGAUAACCUACCUAUAAGACUGGGAUAACUUCGGGAAACCGGAGCUAAUACCGGAUAAUAUAUUGAACCGCAUGGUUCAAUAGUGAAAGACGGUUUUGCUGUCACUUAUAGAUGGAUCCGCGCCGCAUUAGCUAGUUGGUAAGGUAACGGCUUACCAAGGCAACGAUGCGUAGCCGACCUGAGGGGUGAUCCGGCACCCCUGAACUUAGACCCCGUCCCAGCCUCCUAGGGAGGCCACCGUUGGGGAUUCUUCCGCAUUGGGCAAAGCCUUGCCGAGCCACGCCCGCGUAGGUAUUAAGGUCCUCCGAUCGUUAAACCUUUUUAUUAGGGAAAGAACAAUUGUUAAGUUACCAAUCCCCUUCUUACCGUAACCAAUCCGGAAGGCCCGGCCUACCUCCUU
rnacentral:rRNA from 1 species